CUCAUUGGCUAGCACUGGAAUUGCUAGGUGGUUGGCCCACGUGGGGGAAAAUGUAGGGGAAAUGGCGUCGCACAUCUUCCAGUAAACAGUUGUUUUCAAACUAGGGAUUUCAUGGCUAAUUGUGGAACAAGCACAUCUUGAUAGAUCUGGGGACUGUUAACAAGAUCAACUGGAUCAUGGAGGACAAGCAGGAGAUGAUUGACAUUGUUGAGACCGUUUACCGAGGGGCGAGACAGGGACGAGGUCUGGUCGUAUCUCCGAAGGACUAUUCCACAAAAUACAGAUACUGAUUGGUUCUUCCCUUUCCAUUACUUUGUGUGGAGCCCAAUGGGAGCAAAUCUGUGUCCUUCAAUAUGAGACGUUCUGGACAGCUGAACUACAGAAAGGUUCUGAUCGAGGGGGCCUGCUCUCUUUUUUAUGUUAUAGCCAAGUCACCUUUUUUUUUUUCAACAGCAGUUAUAAAAAACAUCAUUUGGUUUCUUCUUUGAUUUAAUAAAUCAUGUUCGUAUUGA